rnacentral:rRNA from 1 species
GAUGAACGCUGGCGGCGUGCCUAAUACAUGCAAGUCGAGCGAACGGACGAGAAGCUUGCUUCUCUGAUGUUAGCGGCGGACGGGUGAGUAACACGUGGAUAACCUACCUAUAAGACUGGGAUAACUUCGGGAAACCGGAGCUAAUACCGGAUGAUAUUUUGAACCGCAUGGUUCAAAAGUGAAAGACGGUCUUGCUGUCACUUAUAGAUGGAUCCGCGCUGCAUUAGCUAGUUGGUAAGGUAACGGCUUACCAAGGCAACGAUGCAUAGCCGACCUGAGAGGGUGACCGGCCACACGGGAACUGAGACCCGGUCCAGACUCCGACGGGAGGCAGCAGUAGGGAAUCUGCCGCAAUGGGCGAACGCCUGACGGAGCAACGCCGCGUGAGUGAUGAAGGUCUUCGGAUCGUAAAACUCUUUUAUUAGGGAAGAACAUAUGUGUAAGUAACUGUGCACAUCUGGACGGUACCUAAUCAGAAAGCCACGGCUAACUAC